AAGUUGGAGACGCCUAGUGAGGGUCAAGGAGGCCCGGCCCGCGCCCUCCCCGCCCAGCCGCCUCCCCGUCGACCACCCAGGGCUGGGGCGAGCCAGGCUGCCUUUCGAACUUGGGGGCUUCUCCUCUUGUCUCCCACUGGUGCUCUGGAUGUGAAUCCAUCCAGGGGCCAGGAUGACAAUCCGAUACCAAGGCCAGCAGUACAGGCUGAGGAUGGCAUUUCUCCAAAAGGUUUCCAAGCUGCGUCCUGGACCUGCAGACUGAGACAGAGAUCCACGGACUGCAGAGCAGGCGGCCCACCCCAGCUCCGAGUCACAUAAGGUUGAAAUAUCAGUAAAAAACAUGCAGAACCAAAGAUGGGGACCAAAAUCCAAAGCCAGAGGGUCUUGGAAAUCAGAGGGUCUUACAACAUAACAGGCAGUACAGGCCAUGGCUCAGGCUAGGCAUGGAACAGACUGCAGUUCUCUUCUACAAAUCAAUCUAGACUGGACAGACAGAACUCCGAGGGAGGAAAGAAAAAUGAAUCUGAUGUUACUUCUUGAAACCACAUUUUCUGAAGUCACCAUUUUUAUGUAUCUAUCAACUCAUCAUUUUUAUGUAUAUAUCAAUAUGAUUUUAUGAUCUUAUUUUUUUCCUACUAAUGUGAUGAAUUACCUUGAUUGAUUUUAGAAUAUUAAAUCACUUUUGUAUUCCUGGAAUAAACCCUAGAUGGAUGCUUGAUUUUUUCUAAUUCCUUAGCAAAAAUGCUAAUAUUUUAUUCAGGACUUUGCAUCCAUAUUCACAAGUGAGGAUUUUUUUCCUCUCCUGACACCAACCAAUUCUCCAACACAAACUGCGUGUCCAACAAUUCAAUUCAAUCCUGACACUAACUACCCAGAGUUAGCAUUAGCCUCCACAGAUUUAAGGCCUCAGCCCCACAAGAUUGUCCCAAUCAGACUCCAGUUGCAAGUCCUGGGCCACCCAUACUUCUGGGCAACUGGUUACAAAUUGGGGGUUCUUAUGACCACCUCCCGCAGGCUUGACAAUUUGCUAGAAUGAUUAGUGGAACGCAAGAAAGUGCUUAACUUAAUAUUACUGGUUUAUUACAAAGGAUACAAUUCAGGAAGAGCCAAAUGGAAGUGAUGCAUGGAGCAAGGCAAGGGAGAAUGAGCACAGAGCUUUUCUACCCUCUCCGGGCACGCCACUCUCCCAGCACCUUGAUGUGUUCACCAACCUGGAAGCUCUCUGAGCCCCAUCAUUUAGAGGUUUUAAUGGAAGUUUCAUUACAUAGGCAUUUUUUUUUUUUUUUUUUUUUUGAGACGGAGUCUUACUCUGUCACCCAGGCUGGAGUGCAGUGGCACCAUCUCGGCUCACUGCAAGCUCCACCUCCCGUGUUCAAGCGAUUCUCCUGCCUCAGCCUCCCAUGCCCAGCUAACUUUUGUAUUUUUAGUAGAGAUGGGGUUUCACCAUGUUGGCCAGGCUGGUCUCGAACUCCUGACCUCAGGUGAUCCGCCUGCCUUGGCUUCCCAAAGUGCUGGGAUUAUAAACGUGAGCCCUACAUAGCCAUGAUUGAUUGAAUCUUUGAACAUUGGUGAUUACUUCAAUCUCCAGCCCCUUGUCCCUCUCUCCUCCCCAGAAGUCAGUGGGCGGGGCUAAAAGUUCCAACCCUCUAAUCAUGCCUAGUUCUCCUUUUUUUAAAAAAAUUAUUUAUUUUUCUUGGCUUGCAAAAUAAGAGCUAUUGUCUAGGUCUUUCUGGCGACCCUUUCAUCCUGAAGUACCUAGAAGCCUCCAGCCACUAGUCAUUUCAUUAGUAUACAAAAGACACUCUUGCUACUGUGGACAUUUCAGGAGUUUUGGGAGCCAUGUCCCAGGAACCAGGGACAAAAUCCAAAUAUUUAUUUUUUCUCAUACCACAAUGAUUGACAUUGGUUUGUAAUUUUUUCUUUUUGUAAUAUCCUAGUCCAGUUUUUCUAUUAAGGUUAUGGCCACAUAAAAAGAGUUGGGAAGUAUACUCUGUUUUUCUAUUCUUUGGUAGAGUUUGUCUAAGUUUGUGCAAGAUUGCUAUUAUUUUAUUUUUUUAGAGAUAGUUUCUCACUCUGUCGCCCAGACUGGAGUGGCAGUGAUGCCAUCACAGCUCAUUCACUAUAACCUUGAACUCCUGGGCUCAAGCAAUCCUCCCACCUAAGCCUCCUAAAUACCUGGGACUACAGGUGCAUGCUGCCAUGCCCUGCUAAUUUUUAAAUUUUUUGUAGAGGUGGUGCCUCACUAUAUUGUCCAGGCUGGUCUUGAACUCCUUGACUCAAGUGAUUCUCCUACCUCAGCCUCCCAAAGUGCUAGGAGUAUAGGUGUGAGCCACCACACACAGCCCAUGGUAUUAUUCUUUAAAUAUUUGGAAGAAUUAACGAUGAAGCAAGCCAUCUGGGGCUUGGAAUUCUUUGUGAGAAGUUCUUGAAUAGAUUCCAUUUAUUUAUUAGAUAUUGGCUAUUCAGAUUUUAUUUUUUUAUAUGGGCUUUGGAAAGUUGUAUUUUUCAAGGAAUUUGUCUAUUUUAUCCAAGUUGUCAAUAUUUUGGUGUAAAGACAACAAUAUUCUCUUAUCUUUGUUAUAUUUGUGGGAUCUGUACUGAUAUUCCUUUCUAAUAUUGAAAAUUUGUCUUUUUUGUUUCUGUUGAUCAGUAUUGUUUGGAGUCUAUCAAUAUAAAUAAUAUUUUCAAAUAACC